CCUGCCCUGUGAUUAUUUUAACGGCCGCAGUACUUUGACUGUGCUAAGGUAGCAUAAUAAAUUGGCUUUUAAUUGGGGUCGAGUAUGAAAGGGAGCAUGGGAAAAAUCUGUCUCCAUAAAAUUAUUUAAAACUUACUUAAUAGGUGAAAAUACCUAUAAUUAUUACUUAAGACGAGAAGACCCUUAGAAUUACAGCUAAUAUAAAUAAGAGGAUUUUUUUUGGCUUUUGUUGGGGCAACAUUGUUAGGAAAAUAACCAACAUUUUUAAAAAUUCUAUAUGACUUUUUUUAGCAGAAAAAUAUAAAUUACCUUAGGGAUAACAGCAUAAUUAUUUUUAUAGAUUGUGACCUCGAUGUUGGACUAGGGACUUUAAUUAUUAACCAUUAUUAAAGAAGGUUCUGUUCGAACUAUAAUAUCCU
rnacentral:rRNA from 1 species